rnacentral:rRNA from 1 species
UACAGAGGGUGCGAGCGUUAAUCGGAAUUACUGGGCGUAAAGGGCGCGUAGGUGGUUACGUAAGUGAGAUGUGAAAUCCCUGGGCUUAACCUAGGAACUGCAUCUUAUACUGUGUGACUAGAGUACUGUAGAGGGUAGUGGAAUUUCCGGUGUAGCGGUGAAAUGCGUAGAGAUCGGAAGGAACACCAGUGGCGAAGGCGGCUACCUGGACAGAUACUGACACUGAGGCGCGAGAGCGUGGGGAGCAAACAGG